GACGAACGCUGGCGGCGUGCUUAACACAUGCAUGUCGAACGGAAAGGCCCUGCUUUUGUGGGGUGCUCGAGUGGCGAACGGGUGAGUAACACGUGAGUAACCUGCCCUUGACUUUGGGAUAACUUCAGGAAACUGGGGCUAAUACCGGAUAGGAGCUCCUGCUGCAUGGUGGGGGUUGGAAAGUUUCGGCGGUUGGGGAUGGACUCGCGGCUUAUCAGCUUGUUGGUGGGGUAGUGGCUUACCAAGGCUUUGACGGGUAGCCGGCCUGAGAGGGUGACCGGCCACAUUGGGACUGAGAUACGGCCCAGACUCCUACGGGAGGCAGCAGUGGGGAAUAUUGCACAAUGGGCGGAAGCCUGAUGCAGCAACGCCGCGUGCGGGAUGACGGCCUUCGGGUUGUAAACCGCUUUCGCCUGUGACGAAGCGUGAGUGACGGUAAUGGGUAAAGAAGCACCGGCUAACUACGU
rnacentral:rRNA from 1 species